AUUGAACGCUGGCGGCAGGCCUAACACAUGCAAGUCGAACGAGUGGCGGACGGGUGAGUAAUGUCUGGGAAACUGCCUGAUGGUGGGGGAUAACUUCUGGAAACUGUAGCUACUACCGCAUUCAAUCGGAUGUGCCCAGAUGGGAUUAGCUAGUAGGUGGGGUAAAGGAUCACCUAGGCGACGAUCCCUAGCUGGUCUGAGAGGAUGACCACCCACACUGGAACUGAGACACGGUCCAGACUCCUACGUGAGGCAGCAGUGGGGAAUAUUGCACAAUGGGCGCAAGCCUGAUGCAGCCAUGCCGCGUGGAUGAAGAAGGCCUUCGGGUUGUCAAGGACUUGCAGCGGGGAGGCGUUACCCGCAGAAGAAGCACCGGCUAACUCCGGGCCAGCAGCCGCGGUAAUUC
rnacentral:rRNA from 1 species